GAUGAACGCUGGCGGCGUGCCUAAUACAUGCAAGUCGAGCGAACGGACGAGAAGCUUGCUUUUCUGAUGUUAGCGGCGGACGGGUGAGUAACACGUGGAUAACCUACCUAUAAGACUGGGAUAACUUCGGGAAACCGGAGCUAAUACCGGAUAAUAUUUUGAACCGCAUGGUUCAAAAGUGAAAGACGGUCUUGCUGUCACUUAUAGAUGGAUCCGCGCUGCAUUAGCUAGUUGGUAAGGUAACGGCUUACCAAGGCAACGAUGCAUAGCCGACCUGAGAGGGGGAUCGGCCACACUGGAACGUGGACACGGUCCAGACUCCUACGGGAGGCAGCAGUAGGGAAUCUUCCGCAAUGGGCGAAAGCCUGACGGAGCAACGCCGCGUGAGUGAUGAAGGUCUUCGGAUCGUAAAACUCUGUUAUUAGGGAAGAACAUAUGUGUAAGUAACUGUGCACAUCUUGACGGUACCUAAUCAGAAAGCCACGGCUAACUACGUG
rnacentral:rRNA from 1 species